rnacentral:snRNA from 1 species
GUGCUUCAACAGCACAUACACUAAAAUUGGAAUGAUACAGAGAUUAGCAUGGCCCCUGGGCAAGGAUGACAUGCAAAUUCAUGAAGCAUUCCAUAUUUUU